rnacentral:tRNA from 1 species
GACGGUCACAGGGCCCUGGUGGGCUCCCCCGGCUGCAAACCGGGUGCGUCGAAUUCGGUUCGACGGUUGGGUUCGAUUCCCAAGGACCGUCUCCA